rnacentral:rRNA from 1 species
UACGUAGGUGGCAAGCGUUGUCCGGAUUUACUGGGCGUAAAGGGCGUGCAGGCGGUUUGUUAAGUGCAGGGUGAAAGCUCCCGGCUCAACUGGGAGAGGUCCUUGCAUACUGGCAGACUUGAGGGAGGCAGAGGAAAGUGGAAUUCCCGGUGUAGUGGUGAUAUGCGUAGAUAUCGGGAGGAACACCGGUGGCGAAGGCGGCCCACUGGUCCGGUACUGACGCUGAGGUGCGAAAGCGUGGGGAGCAAACAGG